CAGUAGCCGCGGUAAUACGUAGGGUGCAAGCGUUAAUCGGAAUUACUGGGCGUAAAGCGUGCGCAGGCGGUUUUGUAAGACAGAGGUGAAAUCCCCGGGCUCAACCUGGGAACUGCCUUUGUGACUGCAAGGCUAGAGUACGGCAGAGGGGGAUGGAAUUCCGCGUGUAGCAGUGAAAUGCGUAGAUAUGCGGAUGAACACCGAUGGCGAAGGCAAUCCCCUGGGCCUGUACUGACGCUCAUGCACGAAAGCGUGGGGAGCAAACAGGAUUAGAUACCCGCGUAGUCCCUGUCUCUUAUAC
rnacentral:rRNA from 1 species